rnacentral:tRNA from 1 species
GCCACCGUAGCUCAGUUGGUAGAGCAACGCAUUCGUAAUGCGUGGGUCGGGGGUUCAACUCCCUCCGGUGGCUC